rnacentral:rRNA from 1 species
CCUACGGGAGGCAGCAGUGAGGAAUAUUGGACAAUGGGCGCAAGCCUGAUCCAGCCAUGCCGCGUGCAGGAAGAAGCAUCUAUGGUGUGUAAACUGCUUUUGUACAGGAAGAAACACUCCCUCGUGAGGGAGCUUGACGGUACUGUAAGAAUAAGGACCGGCUAACUCCGUGCCAGCAGCCGCGGUAAUACGGAGGGUCCGAGCGUUAUCCGGAAUCAUUGGGUUUAAAGGGUCCGUAGGCGGUUUAAUAAGUCAGUGGUGAAAUCUGGUCGCUCAACGAUCAAACGGCCAUUGAUACUGUUAGACUUGAAUUAUAAGGAAGUAACUAGAAUAUGUAGUGUAGCGGUGAAAUGCUUAGAUAUUACAUGGAAUACCAAUUGCGAAGGCAGGUUACUACUUAUGGAUUGACGCUGAUGGACGAAAGCGUGGGGAGCGAACAGGAUUAGAUACCCUGGUAGUCCACGCCGUAAACGAUGGAUACUAGCUGUUCGGAGCAAUCUGAGUGACUAAGCGAAAGUGAUAAGUAUCCCACCUGGGGAGUACGUUCGCAAGAAUGAAACUCAAAGGAAUUGACGG